UUGAUUUUUUUAAUUGAAAAAUAUAUUAAACAUAAACAUAUUCUGGCCACAUAAUGUAUGCUUGUUUUUUUGUUUGUGUAGUCACAAGUUUUUCUGUGAUGCCUGGAUUUGCAGGGAAACCAGCCUGAACACUCAUUUCACGGUGUCUGUUACUUGGAAGGAAAACACAGUUUCUUAUUUCUUUGCAGAACCACUUGGGUGAAUGUAGGCUGUUAAAGUUGAAGGUGAGCUCACGUGCUCGAAUUCUGAGCCCAUGUGAGGAUGUCAGUAACUUCCAGUGGGGCAUGAAAACGAUACUGUGUUUUAACCCAAGCUCUCUUUGCCUCUCCAUUCCCACUUGCCUGGAUUUGGCUGGAUGUGCACCGCAAGGCUCCUUAUUUCUGGCACUACUGUACAAAAUGACCAGUGAAUCCCUCUUAUGUCAUGACUCUGAUUCUGAGUUCCUGGAAUCUUAAAAUAUAUCCAACACCUCUUUUCAUGUUUAGCAUUUCUGCACUAUUUUAAAACUUUUUAAGACCGUAAUUCAAUUUAUCCCCCAUGAGAAACCAAAUGUAUUUGGCACUUCCCUUCAUCCUUUGUGCUUACUUCUCAAUUCUAUUUCUGAUUUGUUGCCUGGCAUCCUUUGCUUUGGGAUCUAUGUGCCAAGAAAGCCACAAGGUUAACGUGGACCUGAACAGUGCUCUGUGAUCCUCUGUUGGAAAUCGCCAGAAAUCAAGGCAGUUUGGUAACAUCAUUCCGUGAGGCCUGAGCUUGCAGAACGCCUUGGGGAUGACCUUCUUAUUGGAUGCACACCAACUGCACUGUCUAGUAUACUAAGGUGAUGGUUGCUAUAUAGUGUGUGUUGUGAAGACUCAUAAGAUUAAAGGUUAUUCUCGUGAGAUAGAUAGGGCCAGGCUCCCGGGAAAUUCCCCAUAAGUUGAAACAAACAGUAAGGACACAUUUGCCUGGCCAAGGAAGUGAUCAAAGGAUCUUCGUGAGAAAACAGGAGAUUUAGGACCAGCCAAGAGAGUCAUUGUUUUCUUCGCUGCUAGCCUGGGUCACUUCCUCAUUAGUUAUGUCCCCAGAUAUUGGUCACCAAGAUCCCUGGGCCACUUUCCCAAUCCUUUGUAACCAAGUUCUGCUGAGAGUCCAUGUAAGAGCUGUAAGUCAACUGAAAUAUCUUCUCUACAAUGGACUUAAGCUUCUCAAAGCCAAAUAUAGUAUGAAUCACAAGAUGAAAACCUAAAACAAUCAGCUAACAGUUGGGAAACACUACCUCACUCCCCACCACCUACAAUAUACACACACAUACACAUCCAUCCAAACAUUUCUUUCUUUUAAGCUCUAAGUGUCAAAUCCCUGGACUGACAAUUACAUAUAUUUUCCCUCAUUUAUCUUAUAUUUUGAAUUGCACGUGCUUUUGAAAACCACCUAAAAUCCUUUGGGGAAAAAUAACGCAUAGGUUAAUCACUUUGUAAAUGAAAAAUAAAUGAUGUGCCAUUCUUCUUCCAAGGUUUUCCCUUUCACUGCAGCCCAGCAGUCCUUACUCUGUCCUAAGUUCCUUUAGCUUCCUUGCGGAAAUGCAGCUUCUAGGCUGCCUCGUGGUUUUUGCAGAGCACAGACAGCAUCCUGGAAGUAUGACGUGCUCUUCACUGGCAAGGACCUUCAGAGUUCCUCAGCCCCUCUCUCACUAGCUAUUGACACUCCCCAGCCCAGGCUUGGGCACAGACGAUGCGUUUGACAAACAAGUACUAUUGUUUGGGCCAGCCAGAUCUGUGGAAUGAACUUUGGAACUCAAAGGGGACUAAAGAUAGUUUUCUUUCACAUCUGCUAUGCUCCCAAGAUAGUUUAAGAGUUGUUGAAUGACUAUGUGUUUUAUGGGCACAAUCUCACUUAAUCCGCACAACUAGUUCAUCCUGUAGACAAGGAAACAAAGGCAUAAAGAGGCUUAGUCACCUGUCCAACAUGAAGAAACAUUGCCGGGAAGUCAGGCAAUCAACUUCACAAUUCAAAAUCUUGGUCAUGCAGGAGGAGCCAGAGGGAAAGAAAUAGCUGGGCGGUUAGAAAUGUGGCUUCAGCAAGACCACGGCGUUUGCUCUGGGCAUUGAAUGACAAGAUGAUUUGAAAUACGCAGAGAAGCUGGAGGCUGCUUAAGGAAAAGUAUGAGCCAAGUUUCCAAAUCUGGAAAGCACAGCCGGUCAUCGGCUCUUCCCAGAGCCUGGCCAAUGCUUCGCUGAGAAGGCCUCGCAGCAGCCCCCGAGGAUGAAGGAGUAUCCCAGUUGCGUCUUCUGAAGCUGAGUCUCCUGUUUUAUGGUUCAUCCAAAUGUGCAGUGCUCAUCUGACUCGCUCAUCACCAUGCAGUGGGGCUGCAUGGAUGAAGCUAAUUUGUGCCGGGCCUAUUUGGAAGCUGGUGUUCCCGUCAUGAAGACUCAGAGGUAGGGCACUCAACUGAGUGAACUCUAGGUAGGAAAGAACAGUGACCACAGAAACGUAGUGUCUCUCUGAAGCUGGAAAUUUGAUCCCAGGUGAAAGCAACCCAGCAGCUGACUACUCAAUGUCUACUGUGUAGUUCCAAGGUUUAGUUCAACUGACUGCAGAUCACCGAAACCUCAGCUAGACCCUGGUUCAAGGCUUUUGGUGGUAGAAGAAGUUAUGUGUGCAGGCUUCACUGUCAGAGAGACUUAGGCUUUGCUCUCCGCUCUUAUGCUCUCUAGCAGAGCCAUCUUGGAUGAAUUGCUGAACUUCACACCAUAAUCUGGAUGUGAUAAUGUUUACUAUACAGACUUCAGGUAAGGAUUUAAUUGAGAUCAUAGACAGAAAGCACUAAGUAAGCAUUCCCUAACCCAUGCUAAUGCACAAAACUUGUUGGUUACUAUGAUUACAAAAGCUGCCACAACAUCUCUCUUGAAGCUUAUAGUGUAAGGGGAAAAGGGGUGCCGGGCACAAAGUUCCUCUAAACAGAGUUGAGCAAUGCUUUUAAGAACUGUUGGAAAUAGAUUUUACUAUCCCCAUUCUUCCCAUGAGGACAUGAAAACCCCUAAAACCUAAAGUUUUGCUCAAGGCCACAUAGCUAAUCAUAGGGCCUGGAUGAAAAUCUGUGUCCGCUGGAACUGUCUCCCAUUAAAGGCCAUGAACUUUCCAUAACAUCAGCAGCCACUUCUGACUUCUCACUCUUCCACGGAGAGGCUGGACACUGGGGAACAUGUUGUUUCAACUAAUUUUACCUUUGUUAUCACAUUCAGUAAGUGGUAUUUAUGUUGGCUGUCCUUUAUGUCUCAUUUGAUUAGGCUUCAGGAGAACAAAUGAUAUAGUAGUCACAAGAAGACUUGAUAAAACAGGAUAUUCCUAUCUCAAUUUUUUUUUCUGGCUUUCUCUUGAUUUGAGGAGCCCAUAGGAAGAACAAAUAAAACCAAAGCAUGAGUGGGUAAAAGAAUGCCCAUCAGUAAAGCAGCAAACGAGCUUUGAGCUCUUUGGAGAAUUCCAUUAAUAAAAGUACUUUUGCACUUGCCACUGUUGACAGAGAUGGAGGACUUGGGUCUCCUAACACCGUCAAGCUGCACCUUUGUGUAACACAUCUAAUCCACUACAGAGGGACAACUUUCAACUGAUGCCUACAGUUUUUCCUUCUCUGAAGCUUAGUGACAUUCAUCGUUUUCUUCUCACAUUUUCUUUUAAAUGCCCCAGUGCAUGACUACCUUUUCAAGGGUUUGUCCCUUUUCAGUAAGAGAGAAAUCAACUAUAGCAGACACUGGGAGGCAGGGUCCACAGCUCUCCCAAGAAUGACAAUAAUGUGAUGGUUUAGGCAUCUGACCCUUACUCAUUGCUCUCUCCAACUCUGUUCCAUUUUGAUAUUAAUUAAAAACAGUUUUAAUCUAAAACCCGUCUAUCAAAAGAAGAACUGCUUGAAGCAAUAUAUGCCUCCUGAAGUCAAUGUCAUGUGACUUUACUCCACUUGAAUUACCUGAAGCAAGACAGUAGUAGUAAUAGCUAUCAUAGUCCAGCUACCAUUUCUUUUCUUUUU
rnacentral:lncRNA from 1 species